rnacentral:rRNA from 1 species
CGUUUAUCCUGCGGGAGACCACUGCUAGUAGGAUCCAUGAGACAUGCAAGUUUAUGAGAAAUCAUGGCGAAAGGCUCAGUAACACGUCAAUAAUCUACCCUAUGGUCGGGCAUAACUUUGGGAAACUGAAGAUAAUUCUCGAUAGAUAAAAGAAGCUGGAAUGCGCUUUUAUCCAAAGCUUCGGCGCCAUAGGAUGAGUUGGCGGCAGAUUAGGCUGUUGGUAAGGUAACGGCUUACCAAACCUAAGAUCUGUAAGGGGAUGAGAGUCCUAGCCCUGAGAGGGAGACUGAGAUAAGGCUCCCAGCCCUACGGGGUGCAGCAGUUCUGAAUACUCCACAAUGCGCGCAAGCGUGAUGGGGGGAUCCUACGUGCAGGCGCUUUUUGCGUCUGCUUUUCUGGAGUCCAAAACGCUUCAGGAAUAAAGGGUGGCAAGACCGGUGCCAGCCGCCGCGGUAAUCCCGGCGCCCUAAGUGGUGGUCACGUUUAUUGGGUCUAAAGCAUCCGUAGCCGGCUAAGUAAGUCUUUAGUGAAAUCUGGCAGCUCAACUGUCAGGCGCGCUGAAAAUACUGCUUAGCUUGAGACCGGGAGGAGUUAGAGGUAUUCUGGGGGGAGCGGUAAAAUGUUUUAAUCCCCAGAGGACCGCCAGCGGCGAAGGCGUCUAACUAGAACGGGUCUGACGGUGAGGGAUGAAAGCCAGGGGAUCAAAGAGGAUUAGAUACCCUCGUAGUCCUGGCCGUAAACGCUGCCUGCUAGGUGCUGCAUGUUCUUCGUGAGCAUGCAGUGUCGGAGAGAAGUCGUUAAGCAGGCCACCUGGGGAGUACGGUCGCAAGGCUGAAACUUAAAGGAAUUGGCGGGGGGCUACCACAAGGGGUGGGUGCUGCGGUUCAAUUGGAUUAUACGCCCGGAACCUUACCAGAAGCGACAGCAGAAUGAAGGUCAGCCUGAAUGGCUCACUCGACGCGCUGAGAGAUGGUGCAUGGCCGCCGUCAGCUCGUGCCGUGAGGUGUUCUGUUAAGUCAGACAACGAGCGAGACCUACGCUUUCAGUUGCCACUAUUCUCAUUGAGAAUAAGCACACUGAAGGGACUGCUCUCGAAAGGGAGAGGAAGGUGUAGGCUACGGUAGGUCAGUAUGCCUCGAAUCCUCUGGGCUACACGCGGCAAGCAAUGGUUGAAACAACGGGCUGCAACUCCGAAAGGAGAAGCCAAUCCCUUAAAUUCUAUCUUUCCGAAUCGAGGGUUGCAACUCACCCUCGUGAAAACGAAAUCCCUAGUAAUCGUGCGUUAGCAUCGUGCGGUGAAUGUGUCCCUGGCCCUUGCACACACUGCCUGUCACGCCAACCGAGUUGGGUUGGGAUGAGGCUCAACUUUUUGGUUAAGUCGAAUCCUGGUUCAGCGAGGCGGGCGAAGUCAACACAAGGUA